rnacentral:rRNA from 2 species
UUAAUAAUUAUUUAUUAAUUAUUUUAUAUUAAAAAUUUAAAUAUUUAAAAUAAUAAUAAAAUUUAAAGGUUUAAGUAUUAUAUAAAGAAAAAAUAAUUUUAAUAAUAGUUUAUUAGUAUUGUAAAAUAAAAUUGAAAUAUAAUGAAAAAUUUUUAUUUUAAAAGAAAAUUUAAUUUAUUGUAUCUUGUGUAUCAGAGUAUAUUAAAUAAAAAAUAUUUAUAUAUUUUUCUCGAUUUUAAAAGAUUUAAUAAAUUAUAAAUGUUAAUGUAACAAAAUUAUAUUUAAUAAUUUAUUAGAAAUGAAAUGUUAUUCGUUUUUAAAGGUAUCUAGUUUUUUAAGAAAUAAAUUUAAUUUAAUAUUCAAAAUUUACUUAUUUAUUUUAAUUAAUUAAGUAAUUUUUUGAAAUUUAAUAUUUUAUGGGAUAAGCUAUAAAAUAAAUUAUUAUAAAUAAUAAAUAUGUUUAAAAUUUAAUAUGUUUAAAAGUAUCAAUUUUUGUUAAAUUUGUUAUAAAUUAAUUUUUUUAAUAAAUUAUUUAUUAUAUUUUAAUUUUUUAUUAAAAUAUUUAUUUUAAUAUUAAAAAUAAAGUAAUAAUGAUAUAAUUAGUAUAUAAUUUUUGUAAAAAUAUUUUUGAAAUUGGAAAGUUUAUGUAAAGAAUUCGGCAAAAAUAAUGUUCGCCUGUUUAACAAAAACAUGUCUUUUAGAAAUUAAUUUAAAGUCUGACCUGCCCACUGAAUUUUUUUUAAAUGGCCGCAGUAUAUUAACUGUGCAAAGGUAGCAUAAUCAUUAGUCUUUUAAUUGAAGGCUGGAAUGAAUGGUUGGACGAAAUAUUAACUGUUUCAUUUAAAUUUAUAAUAGAAUUUUAUUUUUUAGUCAAAAAGCUAAAAUAUUUUUAAAAGACGAGAAGACCCUAUGAAUCUUUAUAUAUGUUAUAUUUUAAUUUUGUGGAUUAAUUUAAUUAUAAUAUUAAUUAUAUAUUUUAUUGGGGUGAUAUUAAAAUUUAAAUAACUUUUAAAAUUUAAAUCAUUGAUUUAUGAAUAAAUGAUCCAUUUUUAAUGAUUAAAAAUUUAAGUUACUCUAGGGAUAACAGCGUAAUUUUUUUGGAGAGUUCAUAUCGAUAAAAAAGAUUGCGACCUCGAUGUUGGAUUAAGAAAUAAUUUUAGGUGUAGCCGUUUAAAUUUAAAGUCUGUUCGACUUUUAAAAUCUUACAUGAUCUGAGUUCAAACCGGCGUAAGCCAGGUUGGUUUCUAUCUUUAAUAAAUUAAUAUAUUUUAGUACGAAAGGAUUGAAUAUAUAAAUAAUUAUAUUUUAAUUAAAGAAUAUUAAUAAUUAAUUUAAAAA